ACGGAGGAUGCAAGCGUUAUCCGGAUUUAUUGGGUUUAAAGGGUACGUAGGCGGAAAAUUAAGUCAGUGAUGAAAUCCUGCAGCUUAACUGUAGAACUGUCAUUGAUACUGGUUUUCUUGAAUACAGUUGAGGUAGGCGGAAUGUGUAAUGUAGCGGUGAAAUGCUUAGAUAUUACACAGAACACCGAUUGCGAAGGCAGCUUACUAAACUGUUAUUGACGCUGAGGUACGAAAGCGUGGGGAGCGAACAGG
rnacentral:rRNA from 1 species